GCGCCCAUAGCUCAACUGGAUAGAGCACUUGACUUCGGAUCAAGGGGUUGUGGGUUCGAAUCCUGCUGGGCGCG
rnacentral:tRNA from 2 species